GUCUCACCUGCCCACUGAUAAUUUUAAGGGCCGCGGUAUUUUGACCGUGCAAAGGUAGCAUAAUCAUUAGUCUUUUAAUUGGGGACUGGAAUGAAGGGUAGGACGAGGCACAAACUGUCUCCAAAAGAAUCAGGAAUUUAUCUUUUUAGUGAAAAGACUAAAAUAAGGUUAUAGGACGAGAAGACCCUAUAGAACUUCAUAAAUUAUACAUAAAUCUUUUAGGAAUUAGCGAGGGUUUUAUGUAAACUUUAUUGUGUUGGGGUGACAGGGUAAUAACAUAACUUACUUUAAUUAAACCACAGAUAAGUGAUUGAAGGAACCGUAAAUAGCGAGUAAAAAUUUAAGUUACCUUAGGGAUAACAGCGUAAUCUUCUUUGAGAGUUCAUAUCGAUAAGAAGGGUUGCGACCUCGAUGUUGGAUUAAAGGUAAUUCUAGGUGCAGAAGCUUAGAGUUAGGUC
rnacentral:rRNA from 1 species